rnacentral:ncRNA from 3 species
GACACUAAGUUCGGCAUCAAUAUGGUGACCUCCCGGGAGCGGGGGACCACCAGGUUGCCUAAGGAGGGGUGAACCGGCCCAGGUCGGAAACGGAGCAGGUCAAAACUCCCGUGCUGAUCAGUAGUGUC